rnacentral:rRNA from 1 species
UACAGAGGUCCCAAGCGUUGUUCGGAUUCAUUGGGCGUAAAGGGCGCGUAGGCUGCGGGGUAAGUCGGGUGUGAAAUCUCAGGGCUCAACCCUGAAACUGCACUCGAUACUGCUCUGCUUGAGGACUGGAGAGGAGACUGGAAUUCACGGUGUAGCAGUGAAAUGCGUAGAUAUCGUGAGGAAGACCAGUGGCGAAGGCGGGUCUCUGGACAGUUCCUGACGCUGAGGCGCGAAGGCCAGGGGAGCAAACGGG